rnacentral:lncRNA from 1 species
CAACCUUUACAGUGGUGUACACCUGUUCCAGAUGGUCAGUGACACUGGCCAGUGGCUCCCUUAGUACUCGCCCUGGUUAAUACACCCAUCCUGCCCUUCGCUGCGCACCUUAGCCGAGUGCUGUUCGGCCGCAACGCAACAAACCUGGCUAUGUUAAACACAAAAUCCUCCAGGCCCCGCGGACGGUGAAAUCUGGACCUGGUUGCUCCCCAGACUCCUCUGCGCCCUCCCGUUCAAGUGAGCCCUCGCAAGCCCUGGAGGGAGCCAGGCGGUCUCGGUGCAGAACCACCACCCUCCCUCGCUUCCCAAGCCGUGAGCCGGACACGGUAGCAGAGCUCCCCCACGACCUCCCAGGGUCCCGCCCAGGCCGGCGCCAGCUUUGGGCCGAGCCCCUUGCGGCCCCGUGGGUUAUAGACCCAGACGAGGUCCCUCGGUCUGAAAGGAGUCCCUCUGCAGCGCAGAUUGUAAUACCGCUUCUGCUGCACCCCCGCCUUCCCAGCAUGAACGAGGCUGGAGUGCACCCAGUGGACUCCUGCACACCCAGUGGACUCCUGCACAGCGGUCCGGUACGCCCAGAGGGUGAGAGGGAAAGUGGUCUCUCCCUUGAUGCCUGCGUCCCAACAUGA